GAGAAAUCUAUGAAUCUAGAAGAAUUAUCUUGAUUAAUUAAGAAAAUAGUUGAAAAUAAAAGACAAAGAGGAACAAAGGGCAACUGCUGGCCAAAGAAAGACUGACAGCAACUUUUGUACUGAGUAGCAAAGAGAGCGAGAUUGCAUGAGAGGAAGCAGGAAAAGUCCAAAUAUGAUGUCUUCUCAUUAAAGUGUGGGUUCAUGUUAUCACAUGGAAAUGUCCAGUUGGAGAUAGAAUUGCAACCAAAAUUUAUCUUCAAUUCCUGAUUUAGUCACCUAAAUGAUAAUGGGAUAAAAAAUAUCAUUGACCUUCCAUAGGCCAACAUGUUCUCCACUUGGCAACUUCUUCUCCAAGAUUUUUUUUUUUA
rnacentral:misc_RNA from 1 species